GACGAACGCUGGCGGCGCGCUUAACACAUGCAAGUCGAGCGAAGCGGCGGACGGGUUAGUAACACGUGAGUAACCUGCCUUAGACAUUGGGAUAGCCUCGGGAAACCGGGAUUAAUACCAAAUGGUCUAAGAUGGACUCGAGUCCCAUUAGCUAGUUGGGAGGUAACGGCCCCCCAAGGCGACGAUGGGUAGCCGGCCUGAGAGGGUGAACGGCUACAUUGGAACUGAGAAACGGUCCAAACUCUACGGGAGGCAGCAGUGGGGAAUAUUGCACAAUGGAGGGAACUCUGAUGCAGCGAGGCCGCAUGAACUAAGAAGGCGUUCGAGUCGUAAAGUUCUUUUAUAUGGGAAGCGGUACCAUAAGAAAAAGCCCCGGCUAACUACGUGCCAGCCGCCGCGGUAAUAC
rnacentral:rRNA from 1 species